rnacentral:lncRNA from 7 species
AGGUUUGGAGGGCAGAACGGUGCGCACAGUGCUGGAGCUGAACCCCCUGAGGGCACUUAUGGGGCAGGGGGCGACCGCUGCCCCACACGUCGCGGGACCUCUGGUGAGUGCUCUGCGGGCGCUGCGGUUAUGGGGCGAUGCAGUACCGCGUGGGGCAGACGAGGGGCGCCGAUGAGGGCCAGACGGUGUUCUACUGCUGCCCGCAGUGCCGGUUCCAGGAGAAGGAGGACUCGUGACCACCCGCCCUCCGCUCAUUAACAGCUCUCCGUUAAUUAACCGUCGGGACCUUAAUUACCCCCCUCUUACCACCGUUGUGUUCAUUACAGCUCGUUAUUCCUC